rnacentral:rRNA from 1 species
UCGCGGCCUAUCAGCUUGUUGGUGAGGUAGUGGCUUACCAAGGCUUUGACGGGUAGCCGGCCUGAGAGGGCGACCGGCCACACUGGGACUGAGAUACGGCCCAGACUCCUACGGGAGGCAGCAGUGGGGAAUAUUGCACAAUGGGCGGAAGCCUGAUGCAGCGACGCCGUGUGCGGGAUGACGGCCUUCGGGUUGUAAACCGCUUUCAACUGUGACGAAUUUGACGGUAGCAGUAGAAGAAGCACCGGCUAACUACGUGCCAGCAGCCGCGGUGAUACGUAGGGUGCGAGCGUUGUCCGGAUUUAUUGGGCGUAAAGGGCUCGUAGGCGGCCUAUUGCGUCGGGAGUGAAAACCUGCGGCUUAACCGUGGGCUUGCUUUCGAUACGGGUAGACUUGAGGGAGGUAGGGGAGAACGGAAUUCCUGGUGGAGCGGUGGAAUGCGCAGAUAUCAGGAGGAACACCAGUGGCGAAGGCGGUUCUCUGGACCUUUCCUGACGCUGAGGAGCGAAAGCGUGGGGAGCAAACAGGCUUAGAUACCCUGGUAGUCCACGCUGUAAACGGUGGGCACUAGGUGUGGGAUCCUUUCCAUGGGUUCUGUGCCGUAGCUAACGCAUUAAGUGCCCCGCCUGGGGAGUACGG